rnacentral:rRNA from 1 species
UACGUAGGGUGCGAGCGUUGUCCGGAAUUACUGGGCGUAAAGAGCUCGUAGGUGGUUUGUCGCGUUGUCCGUGAAAACUCACAGCUUAACUGUGGGCGUGCGGGCGAUACGGGCAGACUGGAGUACUGCAGGGGAGACUGGAAUUCCUGGUGUAGCGGUGGAAUGCGCAGAUAUCAGGAGGAACACCGGUGGCGAAGGCGGGUCUCUGGGCAGUAACUGACGCUGAGGAGCGAAAGCUAGGGGAGCAAACAGG